CUCUCUCUCUCUCUCUCUCUCUCGUCCAAGGGUUGCUGCAAAGUGGCUGUGACUUCGUACGGCGCAUCAUUGGCAGUGGCAAGAUCCAGGGAGGAGGGCUAAGAUCGGAGAAGAUCCAGCGGAGGAGGACUAAGACCGGAGAGUCGGAGCCUAUCGCCGCUAAUGUUCAUGCCUCUGAGCUUUUCCAGGAGCUUUUCUCCGACUGGUACGGUAAGGAAAUCCAGAUUUUUAUGCUCAUUAUUUAUUUCAUGACAUUUUUGUUCCUGUCAAGAUUAUAACAUACAAAAAAUUUCUAGAAACUGUAGUGUACUUGAAAGUCUAAUUCUUCUUGUUUUUGCAUCUGUAUGCAGUACUUGUUUCCUUUGGCUAUAAUUUUGUUAUGUUCAUCUUUAGAGUGUUUUAAUGUUUUGAUCAAUUCCGAAUUAUAUUUCCUUAAAUGGUUUACAUUUAACUAGUUUCAUUUCCUAAGAUUGCUAUAUAAAAUAAAAUAAAAACAAUAGAUCUUAGUUUCUUUGUCGAAUGUGUUAUGGUCUGAUGGGUAUUGUGGAUAUUGCAGGAGGUCAUUGAUUAGGCAAGGAGAUGGAAAGGCCAUUAGAUGUGCUAUUCAAACAGACGCUAGUAACAUUUUCAAUUUGCAUAAUCUUCUAGCCUUUUCAAUUUUGCUAUUUCCUUGGCCUUCAACCUCAUCAAUUUAAAUAGUAGAGGCUACCUAGAUGAGGAAUUGAGUGGGCAAGAGAAGAGUAGGACUACCCAAGAGCACAAAGGUUUUUACAACUGAUUGAUGUCAACCUCUUUUGUCCUGACUUUCAUGCAUAUUACUAGAAUAAGCAUUAGAGUUUUGUAAUCUCUAUUGUGACUGACGUUAACAUUUAUUUUCCUAAUUACUUCUACUAAGACAUUGACACUGAUCUUAAUAUGAGGUUUUUCCUCUCUGUUAUCAUAUCAUAUAAUGAUAAGGAGGCAUCAUAUAUAUAAUUUUCAUUCUUGUUGUGAAGCUUUCUCACGUAAAGUCAUAUAAUUACCUUCACUAGAUUCUUGUUUGAACUUAGUUUUAGAUCAUUACUUUAACUUUUGUUUUCUUUGCAAAUUGGAGAAGAUGUUUUGUCAUAAAAUGCACUGCAGUUUUCGUUUAUUGCAAUUUUUGAUAAGAAACUGCAUUGCAGUUUCCUGUUCCAUAUUUCGAUUUUAGAAUAAUUUUUCCAAGUCUAUGGGAAUGUUACAAUUACUCAUCUACUUGUAUGUGUUUUGAACUUAGUUUUAGUACUUUGAUCAUGGCUUUGCCUUUUGGUUUCUUUUCACAUUUGAGCAAUUUUUUUUUUUAUAAACUUAACUGUAGUUUCCGUUAGUUGCAGUUUUUGAUAAGAAACUGCAUUGCAGUUUCUUGUUUCAUAUUUCAAUUUUAGAAUAAUUUUUCCAAGUCUAUGGGAAUGCUACAACUGUUCAUCAACUUAAAUAUGUUUUAAACUUAGUUUUAGUACUUUGAUCAUGGCUUUGCCUUUUGGUUUCUUUGCAAAGUUGAGCAGAUGUUUUGUCAUAUGCAGUUUCUGUUUGUUGCAGUUUUUUUUAUCAGAAACUGCACUGCAGUUUCUUGUUUCAUAAUUCAAUUUGAGAAUAAUUUUUGCAAAUCUAUGGGAAUGUUACAACUACUCAUCUAUUUAUACAUGUUUUGAACUUAGUUUUAGUACUUUGAUCAUGGCUUUGCCUGUUGAUUUCAUUUCACAUUUGAGCUUUUUUUUUUGUUAGUUGCUCGGUUCUUGUGAUAUUAAUUUCAUAUCAGACUUCACAUCAAUAUUUUGAUCUAUUGUUUAAAUCUCCACCUUGCAUCCUUACUAUUUUAGUCGUUGAUAUCUAUUCUCAAUCCCCACCAGCAAGAUAAAAUAGGCUAUGCAUUUGUCUUGAUUUGGAAAUGGUUGAUGCCAUCACAGUCAUAUGAUAUUUUGCAAUACCAUUUAAGCUUUAGUUCAGUGAAACUUUAUACAGGUUCUGCUUUGUAGUUUUGCAAUACCAUUUGGAAAUGGUUGAUGCCAUCACUGUCUAUUUUAGAAUAAUUUUUGCAAGUCUAUGGGAAUAUUACGACUGUUGAUCGACUUAAAUGUGCUUUGAACUUAGUUUUAGUACUUUAAUCAUGGCUUUGCCUUUUGGUUUCUAUGCAAAUAUGAGCAGAUGUUUUGUCAUAGAAUAUAUUACAAUUUCCGUUUGUUGCAAUUUUUUAUAAGAAACUGCAGUGCAGUUUCCUUUUCCAUAUUUCGAUUUUAGAAUAAUUUUUCCAAGUCUAUGAGAAUGUUACAACUGCUCAUCUACUUAUAUGUGUUUUGAACUUAGUUUUAGUACUUUGAUCAUGGCUUUGCCUUUUAAUUUCUUUUCACUUCUGGGCAUAUUUUUUUCAUAAACUGCAUUGAAGUUUCUGUUUGUUGCAUUUUUUUAUCAGAAAGUGCAAUGCAGUUUCUUGUUCCAUAUUUCAAUUUUAGAAUAAUUUUUCCAAGUCUAUGGGAAUGCUAGAACUGCUCAUCGACUUAAAUGUGUUUUGAACUUAGUUUUAGUACUUUGAACAAAUGUUGUCAUAAACUGUGUUGUAGUUUCAGUUUGUUGCAGUUUCCUUUUGUUGUAGUUUUUGAUCAGAAACUGCAGUGCAAUUUCUUGUUCCAUUUCCGUUUGUUGCAUCUUGUUAUAAGAUUAUAUGACAGCAGAGAUAUAUAACAAAUCUUUUCUCAGAUUAGGUUGACCACAUCAUUAUUGUAAUCAACAACCUCAUCUUCCUCUUCUUCUUCUCCAGCUUCUUUUUUUGCUUUCCCUUUCUUUGUUUUCUUCUUUUGUUUUGUGUUGGCCAUUUCUUUCUUUGUUUUGUUUGUCACGACAAUUUUCUUGUGUAAUUCUUCUUCUACGAGGCCUUUUGAUGGUUUUGUUUGUAGUUUUGGUUUUUGUUUUUGUUUUUGUUUUUUUUAAUACAGUUUUUGCAUGAAUAUGUGUUGAAAUAAUUUUAUUAUUUUAUUAUUUUUUUAAUCGAUGAUUGUUUAUAUAAAUAUUGUGUAAUUGAAUAGAUAUCACAAAAACAAGUUCGGUGUAGUGGUUUGUGAGUGAGGCUUCCUCCUUUGAGGGUCAAGGUUCGAGUCCCUUUAGUGACACAAAUUCUUCUAUUUUUUUAGGGUGAAUAAAGGGCAAUGGAGUUAGUCCCCAAUUGGUCGGAGAUGGGCAGCGGCAGGUGGCGGUUGUUGGCCGAUG
rnacentral:lncRNA from 1 species